rnacentral:rRNA from 1 species
UUCUCUGGUUGAUCCUGCCGGACCCGACUGCUAUUUGGGUGAGAAUUAGCCAUGCGAGUCGAAUGGAAUACCUAAAUUUUCCAUGGCGAACUGCUCAGUAACACAUGAUCAACUUGCCCUAUAGAGAAAAAUAACCUCGGGAAACUGAGGAUAAUGUUUCAUAGUUGAAAAGGCUUGGAAAAGUUUUUCAAUAAAAGGGAUAAAAUAAAUGGUUUUUAUCUGCUAUAGGAUAGGAUCGUGGUCGAUUAUGGUUGUUGGUGAGGUAACGGCUCACCAAGCCGAUAAUCGAUAGGGGCCGUGAGAGCGGGAGCCCCGAGAUGGGUACUUAGACAGCGACCCAGGCCUUACGGGGCGCAGCAGGCGCGAAACCUCCGCAAUACACGAAAGUGUGACGGGGUUACCCAAAGUGUUCAUAUUUGGACUGUGGUAGGUGAGUAAUGUCCCCUACUAGAAAGGAGAGGGCAAGGCUGGUGCCAGCCGCCGCGGUAAAACCAGCUCUUCAAGUGGUCGGGAUAAUUAUUGGGCUUAAAGUGUCCGUAGCCGGUUUAGUUAGUUCCUGGUAAAAUCGGGUAGCUUAACUAUCCGCAUGCUAGGAAUACUGCCAUACUAGAGGGCGGGAGAGUCUGAGGUACUACAGGGGUAGGGGUGAAAUCUUAUAAUCCUUGUAGGACCACCAGUGGCGAAGGCGCCAGACUGGAACGCGCCUGACGGUGAGGGACGAAAGCCAGGGGAGCGAACCGGAUUAGAUACCCGGGUAGUCCUGGCCGUAAACGAUGCAUACUAGGUGACGGCACGGCUAUGAGCCGUGUCGGUGCCGUAGGGAAACCAUUAAGUGUGCCGCCUGGGAAGUACGGUCGCAAGGCUGAAACUUAAAGGAAUUGGCGGGGGAGCAC